AGCUAAAAGAAACAAAUAUUUUUAGUAAUCCCUGCUUAACGCUUAUUUAGUGAUAGCCGCAGUAAUUUGACUGUGCUAAGGUAGCAUAAUCACUUGGCUUUUAAUUGAAGUCUAGAAUGAACGGGAACUAAAGGCAAGCUGUCCUCAGCCUAGGUAUUUUAAUUUACUUAGUGGGUGAAAAUUCUCACAUAUAGAAGAAAGACGAGAAGACCCUGGGAAUUUAACUAUUUUGUUGGGGCAACAAGGAAGAAAAUAUAAUAUACCCUUUCAAUUUUUGGCUAAAGAAUCCUUUAUGUUAUCUAGAAAAUUACCCCAGGGAUAACAGCACUAUAUAUAAAUUUGCUUGUGACCUCGAUGUGGACUAGGGAAGAAAUAAUAAGAAGUUAUUUUUUUGGGCUCUG
rnacentral:rRNA from 1 species